AAUAUAUCUAAGGAUAAUCCAAUAUAUUUCCCAUCAAAUCAAAUCAAUUCUAUCUUCUAAGCACUGGAAGUAUAGAACAGUUAAAAAAUAUGCAAAGAAAAGCAUGAAGAACUUAGUAACCAAGAGAGAGCUCAUAAUUGUUGAACUGUUAAGAAAUGAUAAGAAUAGAAGACAAGAGAAAUGUAAAUUGUGGGUGUACCAAAUACCAAUAGACUCUAAUGAGAUUGUAGAAAAAGAAUUUUACAUCAGAAUCACAAAAAGAUGCUUAGAAAAUAGGAUUAAAGAAUGCCAAUGUGAUAUUAAAACCAGAAAUGUGAAAAAUGCAUUAAUGAAAAAAUUUUAUGAAUCUGAUACAAUCAUUAAAUGGGAAGAAUCAAAAAUAAUAAGAAAAGUUGACAA
rnacentral:lncRNA from 1 species